AAUCUGUAGUUAAGCGGCCUUUGGAAAGUUAAAACAAAUUCCUUUCACAAUCUACAGUAAGUAAAUUAACAGACAAUGAUAUUGUGGUAACUAGGUGGAUCACAUCUAAAUAUCUUGUAUUAAAACUCACAGUUGCAGUUCAAAAACAUGAAAAAGGAGCAAGUAAUACAAUAUGUCGUCAGGUCCAUAAAGCGAUGGCUACUGCAAGCUCCUGACAUAAAUGUUAUUUUGGUUACAAAUUUAUACUUAUUUUGCAAUUUCUUCACUCUUGGCUAUUUUUGGGUAACUUGGUUGUAUUUACUAAAUUUAUGAGAUUCAGCUUGACAAGCAGAAAAGUUCGGAAAUCGAGAACAAAAGUUAGUUCAAGCAAGCAUCAAAUUGAAAUGAUGGUUGAAGUUUAACCGUUUGCUAACUUUUAUAUGUAUUGUAUUGCAAGACAAUUUUAUUGAAAUAAAAAUAUUUGGGAUAAUAAAACAUAUUGCUAAAA